AACUUGUUGUCUAUUGUGUUCUGUUAGAUUUUUCCCUGUUGAAGACUAACGAUAAUUUGUUGUAUAUUAUCUUAGUCAUAAUAUUCUUUACUGGGCUAGUUGAGCUCACCCUUUUCCUUUUUGUUCUAUUUUUCUUCUCAGGAGGUGAGAACAUAGCAGGAUCGAGUCGGGGUAUGGAGUGAUGGUUCUAGGAAGAUGUUUUAGCUGUCCUCACUAUUUCUGUAAAAUAGUGUAUGAAUAAUUA
rnacentral:lncRNA from 1 species